rnacentral:snRNA from 1 species
GUGCUCAUUUUGGCAGCACAUAUACUAAAAUUGGAAAGAUACAGAGAAGAUUAGCAUGGCCCCUGCACA